rnacentral:rRNA from 1 species
UGGGAGCUUGCUCCCUGAUGUUAGCGGCGGACGGGUGAGUAACACGUGGGUAACCUGCCUGUAAGACUGGGAUAACUCCGGGAAACCGGGGCUAAUACCGGAUGGUUGUUUGAACCGCAUGGUUCAGACAUAAAAGGUGGCUUCGGCUACCACUUACAGAUGGACCCGCGGCGCAUUAGCUAGUUGGUGAGGUAACGGCUCACCAAGGCGACGAUGCGUAGCCGACCUGAGAGGGUGAUCGGCCACACUGGGACUGAGACACGGCCCAGACUCCUACGGGAGGCAGCAGUAGGGAAUCUUCCGCAAUGGACGAAAGUCUGACGGAGCAACGCCGCGUGAGUGAUGAAGGUUUUCGGAUCGUAAAGCUCUGUUGUUAGGGAAGAACAAGUGCCGUUCAAAUAGGGCGGCACCUUGACGGUACCUAACCAGAAAGCCACGGCUAACUACGUGCCAGCAGCCGCGGUAAUACGUAGGUGGCAAGCGUUGUCCGGAAUUAUUGGGCGUAAAGGGCUCGCAGGCGGUUUCUUAAGUCUGAUGUGAAAGCCCCCGGCUCAACCGGGGAGGGUCAUUGGAAACUGGGGAACUUGAGUGCAGAAGAGGAGAGUGGAAUUCCACGUGUAGCGGUGAAAUGCGUAGAGAUGUGGAGGAACACCAGUGGCGAAGGCGACUCUCUGGUCUGUAACUGACGCUGAGGAGCGAA